CCUACGGGAGGCAGCAGUGAGGAAUAUUGGUCAAUGGGCGCGAGCCUGAACCAGCCAAGUCGCGUGAGGGAAGACGGCCCUACGGGUUGUAAACCUCUUUUGCCGGGGAGCAACGGGCGCCACGUGUGGCUCCACUGAGAGUACCCGUAGAAAAAGCAUCGGCUAACUCCGUGCCAGCAGCCGCGGUAAUACGGAGGAUGCGAGCGUUAUCCGGAUUUAUUGGGUUUAAAGGGUGCGUAGUGGGGUCGUUAAGUCAGUGGUCAAAUUUAGGGGCUCAACCGUUUCACGCCAUUGAAACUGGCCAUUCUGGGUGGAAGAGAAGGAAGCCGAAUGCGUGGGGGAGCGGGGAAA
rnacentral:rRNA from 1 species